rnacentral:rRNA from 1 species
GACGAACGCUGGCGGCGUGCUUAACACAUGCAAGUCGAACGGAAAGGCCCUGCUUUUGUGGGGUGCUCGAGUGGCGAACGGGUGAGUAACACGUGAGUAACCUGCCCUUGACUUUGGGAUAACUUCAGGAAACUGGGGCUAAUACCGGAUAGGAGCUCCUGCUGCAUGGUGGGGGUUGGAAAGUUUCGGCGGUUGGGGAUGGACUCGCGGCUUAUCAGCUUGUUGGUGGGGUAGUGGCUUACCAAGGCUUUGACGGGUAGCCGGCCUGAGAGGGUGACCGGCCACAUUGGGACUGAGUUACGGCCCAGACUGCUACGGGAGGCAGCAGUGGGGAAUAUUGCACAAUGGGCGGAAGCCUGAUGCAGCAACGCCGCGUGCGGGAUGACGGCCUUCGGGUUGUAAACCGCUUUCGCCUGUGACGAAGCGUGAGUGACGGUAAUGGGUAAAGAAGCACCGGCUAACUACGUG